UAGGGAAUCUUCCGCAAUGGGCGAAAGCCUGACGGAGCAACGCCGCGUGAGUGAUGAAGGUCUUCGGAUCGUAAAACUCUGUUAUUAGGGAAGAACAAAUGUGUAAGUAACUAUGCACGUCUUGACGGUACCUAAUCAGAAAGCCACGGCUAACUACGUGCCAGCAGCCGCGGUAAUACGCAGGUGGCAAGCGUUAUCCGGAAUUAUUGGGCGUAAAGCGCGCGUAGGCGGUUUUUUAAGUCUGAUGUGAAAGCCCACGGCUCAACCGUGGAGGGUCAUUGGAAACUGGAAAACUUGAGUGCAGAAGAGGAAAGUGGAAUUCCAUGUGUAGCGGUGAAAUGCGCAGAGAUAUGGAGGAACACCAGUGGCGAAGGCGACUUUCUGGUCUGUAACUGACGCUGAUGUGCGAAAGCGUGGGGAUCAAACAGG
rnacentral:rRNA from 1 species